rnacentral:rRNA from 1 species
GAUCAUGGCUCAGGAUGAACGCUUGGCGGUAUGCCUAACACAUGCAAGUCGUACGAGAGUUUUUAACUCUAGUGGCGACGGGUGAGUAACACGUGAGAAUUUGCCUUUAGGAGGGGGAUAACAAUUGGAAACGAAUGCUAAUACCCCAUAUGCUUUUGAGUGAAACGGAUUUAUCCGCCUAGAGAGAAGCUCGCGGCUGAUUAGCUUGUUGGUAAGGUAAGAGCUUACCAAGGCGACGAUCAGUAUCUGGUUUGAGAGGACGAUCAGACACACUGGAACUGAGACACGGUCCAGACUCCUACGGGAGGCAGCAGUGGGGAAUUUUCCGCAAUGGGCGAAAGCCUGACGGAGCAAUACCGCGUGAGGGAAGACUGCCUAUGGGUUGUAAACCUCUUUUUUCAGGGAGGAAUAAAUGACGUGUACCUGAAGAAUAAGCAUCGGCUAACUCCGUG